UAUAAAUCUAUAAAUAAAUAAAUUUUUCAUAUCUAUUGUACAUAAUUUUGUUAUUCAGAGUCGUUAUUAUGUAUGGAGAAUAUCUCUUGUAUGAAAAUGACAUUAAUCUUUAAACGAUAAAAGAUGAUUUAUUUAUGAUAAAUUUUACUAUCUUCUUUUAUACAAAAUAUACAUUACAUUUAUCAAUUGCUCCAUGCACAAUACAUAUUCUCUGAAAUACAUAUUAUGAGAAAGACGGACAUAAUUAUUUUGUUCAAGAUAAUUGUGUUCAAUAAAAUUAGAUUAGUAAAUGUACUCACAAGGAUAUAUAGAUUUUGAUUUCAAAUAAAUAUUUUUGAUAGCACAGCUUUUUAUAAAUUAUCUUUAUACAAUAAUGCAUGUUUAAUUAGAAAAAUUUAAUAAUACCGAUAUUGCGAUCUUGUAAAAAUCUCUGAUGAAAAUGUCUGACAAGAUUUUUACAUAUUUAUGCCACUUUCGAAGACAGUUUAGAUUUCACGAAAUAUUUUAAAGGGAUGUAAUCGAUAUAGAUCUUUAAUAAAAACGACGAAGAACGAUUGCUCUCAAGUAUCGAUAUUCUUACAAAUGAAAAAGGGAUAUUGUAAAAAAAUCCGAGUUAAAAGUAAGUCUGCAUGCGAGAAAAUGAGUUGAGAAAAUUUUCGCUGUCAUUACUUUAUUCAAGCGCAAAGUCUAAGUGAAAAUAUCC